AAGAACGUUUUACGGUGUACGGCAUGGAAACACUGUUUAUGCAAACACGUUUCGCAAUGUACGGCAAAGAAACAUUGCUUACACAAAUACGCUUCACAAUGUGCGGCAAAGAAACAUUGU
rfam:Lachnoclostridium sp. An76 An76_contig_9, whole genome shotgun sequence.